UAGUGGCAGACGGGUGAGUAAUGUAUAGGAAUCUACCUAGUAGUACGGAAUAAUUGUUGGAAACGGCAACUAAURCCGUAUACGCCCUACGGGGGAAARAUUUAUUGCUAUUAGAUGAGCCUAUAUUAGAUUAGCUAGUUGGUAGGGUAAUGGCCUACCAAGGCAAUGAUCUAUAGCUGAUCUGAGAGGAUGAUCAGCCACACUGGAACUGAGAUACGGUCCAGACUCCUACGGGAGGCAGCAGUGGGGAAUAUUGGACAAUGGGCGGAAGCCUGAUCCAGCCAUGCCGCAUAAGUGAAGAAGGCCUUUGGGUUGUAAAGCUCUUUUAGUGGGAAAGAUAAUGACGGUACUCACAGAAGAAGUCCUGGCUAACUCCGUGCCAGCAGCCGCGGUAAUACGGAGAGGGCUAGCGUUAUUCGGAAUUAUUGGGCGUAAAGAGCGCGUAGGCUGGUUAGUAAGUUAAAAGUGAAAUCCCAAGGCUUAACUUUGGAAUUGCUUUUAAAACUGCUAAUCUAGAGAUUGAAAGAGGAUAGAGGAAUUCCUAGUGUAGAGGUGAAAUUCGUAAAUAUUAGGAGGAACACCAGUGGCGAAGGCGUCUAUCUGGUUCAAAUCUGA
rnacentral:rRNA from 1 species